rnacentral:lncRNA from 1 species
UCUGCAUUGUUUUUCUCUUGCUUUCAGGUCAGACUAUUAGCAAACCUCUUCAUCUGAACCCAACCACAAUUGACCACUCGCCAUUCACCAGCUCAUCCGGUCCUCUCAAUCCAGAUUUUAGCGGCAACAUAUACCUUCAACUAGCUUUUUUUUUUAAUGAGAUUCUAUAUUGUUACAAAAUGAUAUUGGAAUCAAGUCGGUUGAUGGCCUUAUAGAUUGGAGAAUACUGUAGAAUGAGUUUAUUUGGAUUGAUCACGAGAUUGCGGUGUUUGUAAUUGAGUUUGAUUGAAUUUGGAUUUUUAGUUUGGUAAAAAUGCUAGGGCUUAAACAUAGCAUAUAAGGAUCCGUAUGAACGUAUGUUGAGUCUCAUAUCAAUUAUGUAAUAGGUACAUCUUG